rnacentral:rRNA from 1 species
AGAACGAACGCUGGCGGCAUGCCUAAUACAUGCAAGUCGAACGAACUCUUCGGAGUUAGUGGCGCACGGGUGCGUAACGCGUGGGAAUCUGCCCCUUGGUUCGGAAUAACAGUUGGAAACGACUGCUAAUACCGGAUGAUGACGAAAGUCCAAAGAUUUAUCGCCAAGGGAUGAGCCCGCGUAGGAUUAGCUAGUUGGUGAGGUAAAGGCUCACCAAGGCAACGAUCCUUAGCUGGUCUGAGAGGAUGAUCAGCCACACUGGGACUGAGACACGGCCAGACUCCUACGGGAGCAGCAGGUAGGAAUAUGGACAAGUGGGACGAAAGCUGAUCCAGACAAUCGCCGCGUGAGUGAGAGGAAGGUACCGUUAGGGUUAGUAAAGUCUUACCUUUUAACCCGAGUAU